rnacentral:lncRNA from 1 species
GCCAGAGAGCCCUUAGCAAUCCUUCUUAAUAAGAGACACUCUGAGUCUCAAGGAGCAGGGAGGGCGGAAAAAUCAAACUAAGUACAACCCCCCCACGGCAAAAAAAAUGGGGCGGGGGGGGGUUGUGGAGACGGUUGCAGGGCAAAAAUAAGGCAGUGCCGCAGAGAUGAGCAAGGGAGCAAGUGUGGGUUGGCGGUUAGAGAAGCCAGCAGGGCUGGUGUUUGCAAGGCCUAAAGAGGAGCCUGGCGGACCAGGGUCCCUACGCUGAAAUGGGGCGCCCGGCCCCUUAGUUGGAAGUAGGCAACCAGGCCCAGAAAUCCUAUGGCGUACUUUAACCAGUCAAGUCCUAUGGGUCAAGGAAUCGGAAGUUUGAGACCCUGGAGUGCGUCCGCGCGCAUCAAUGAAUGGAUGAAUUUUAUUAUUACGGUCACAGACCAGUUCCGGCUCACUUACAAUAUCAGGAAAAUCAUAAAACACAAGAGGAAUACAUUGAAUUGCAAUUGGGUAUCACAGAGACGAUACAGAUAUAGUUGCAGCUAAAAAUAUAUAUAUUAAAUCUUGAUCACUAAAAUAUAACCUAAAAUUGUCAUUUAAAACCUUUUUGUAGUACAGCUUGUACUGUACUCAUUUAAAACCUUUUGGUAGUACAGCUUGUUCCCUAAGUUUUAUGGCAGUCGCACAGAAUUUCGCGCGCAUCAAUGCAUUUAAAGGGCAUCCCCACCCCACCCAACCAAAUUUUUCAAAAUUAUGCGAACUGUAGCUUCCCUCUCCCAAGAGGCACAAUUCCCAGCAGCGCCUCUAACAAACUACCGCUCCCAGGAUCCUUUUGCAAGGAUAACGUGCAGUGUGAAUGUGUUUCGCGCACGCCCAGACCCCUGUUCAAAACACCCCUCUGUGUUCAGGGGGUGGCUCUUCCUUGCCUCCUUCAUGGGCAGGCGCAGAUGGAGGUGAUCUUGCCCUCUGGUCUUCCCCAGGACUUGCCCCCUGGCUUUUCAUAAUUGGGGGAAAUGCCACGGAUUGAGCCCAGGAGCUUCUGCCUACAAAGAGCAGCCGCCCCUCUCGCCUUUUUGGCUUUGUAAGGGUUAAACCGAUCCGAACUGGAUUCCUAGAGCGGAAGGGAAUAGGGCGGGAGGUAAGCGGGGGUUGCAGAGUCCUCCAAGAGAGAAAGCCCCUCCCUCCAAAGCCCCUUCCUGCUUGGCUUUUUCCCGGGGGGAGGAACGUGGUCUUUGUCUCUCCCAGCGCUGCAUUGAGGGGACCCGGUGAGUUAUUCCCCCUUUAUUUUGUGCAUUUGGGCGAAGGGGAGUCCCAGGGCUGCGGGAAGGAGAGGGUGCAAAGGAGACCUGAUCCAUCCAGGAUGCCCCCCAACCAAGGAGGGCAGCCUUUUUCUCUCCCUGUGUGCAAAGGCAGGAGAUGCGUUUUGAAAUAUUGCAGGGAGGGGAGGAUUUAAAGUUGAUCUCGGUGCAAGCGUAUCUCCAAUUGAGCUUUGAUUAGAUUUAGUAGCCCCUCCCCAUUAAUCAGGCAGUGGCUUCCCCAAGGGUUCUGGAGGACACGCAUGUGCCCAUUCAGACGUGCAAUGCCUGUGAGACGGAGAGGAUCAUUUGAGACUGAAUACAAAGCCCUAAUGAGAACUAUUGGAGGUCUAGUAAUCAGAAGAAUCAAAUGGCUGUAAUGGGGGAGGAGAAGUAAUGGAGGGAGCCCCCCCCCCCAACCUGUAAAGAACCAUAAUUCACAGAUUCCCCUGCUAUGGGGGGGGGGGGGACUGGAUGGUUACUAGCUUAGCAAGGGAAGGGAGGUUGGUGGUGACCAUUUCUUUUACUGCACCUUUUACGUCUCCUGUCUGAAGCCUUAGAGAGAUGCUACCAGUCACAAGUGGACACUACUGGGCAAGAUGGGCCAGUGGUUUGAUUGGCCAUUUCUGCCCUUUAGGAUUAACCUCAUUUUGGGCUACAGUGGCCAUAUUCUGUGCCCUCAAGCUGUCCUUGGCCCUUUAAUAAUAAUAAUAAUAAUAAUAAUAAUAAUAAUAAUUUAUUAUUUAUACCCCGCCCAUCUGGCCGGGCUUCCCCAGCCACUCUGGGCGGCUUCCAAUUUUUUUUUAUAAUACUGUACUCGUCAAACAUUAAAAGCCUCCCUAAACAGGGCCACCUUCAGAUGUCUUCUAAAAGUCUGGUAGUUGUUGUUCUCUUUGACAUCUGGUGGGAGGGCGUUCCACAGGGAGGGCGCCACUACCGAGAAGGCCCUCUGCCUGGUUCCCUGUAACCUCACUUCUCGCAGUGAGGGAAUCACCAGAAGGCCCUUGGUGCUGGACCUCAGUGUCCAGGUAGAACGAUGGGGGUGGAGACGCUCCUUCAGGUAUACUGGACCGAGGCCGUUUAGGGCUUUAAAGGUCAGCACAAACACUUAGAAUUGUGCUCGGAAACGUACUGGGAGCCAAUGCAGGUCUUUCAAAACCGGUGUUAUAUGGUCUCGGCGGCCGCUCCCAGUCACCAGUCUAGCUGCCGCAUUCUGGAUUAGUUGUAGUUUCCGGGUCACCUUCAAAGGUAGCCCCACGUAGAGCGCAUUGCAGUAGUCCAAUUUAACACAGUGCACAAAUCCCUCCCUUUAGUCAAAAAUCUGGAAGCCAUGGAUAGAAGAAUUAAAAAUUGAACUGAAUAUUUGAAAAUUAAAAACAGACUCCUGGAGCUGUGGAAGAUAAACAAUGCCCCAGAAAUUAUGCACCACCCUCAAGCUUAGAUUGCUACAUCCUACUCCCCCUUGAGAAAUAGCACCAAAAAUACUCAUUGAGUCCCUGCUGUCUCACUUUUUAAGCUUACGUUAUUUUUUUUUUCUCACUGAUUGCCUUGGUCUAAUCACUGAGGUUCGGCUUCACUUACAUCACAGGGCUUCUCUGAAGUAAUAGAAAAAUGAAUAAGAUGGCUGCUAAAGGCUUUAGGUUUUGCUUCCUUUAACCAGACCAAUAUAUUUUUGUACUAUAAAGAGCCACAUUUUUAUGCCCCACUUGCAGAUCCAUACAGUUUCAACCAAUCUCAAUGUGACCUGAUUACUGUAAUCCUGUCUGCAUAUUAAUUUAUUUGGGAGUUAGGCCCAAAAACAAAAGGAGAUGUACAGUCAUACCUUGGUUUUAGAACAGCUUAGUUCUCGAACGUUUUGGCUCCUGAACACCACAAGCCCAAAAAUGAAUGUUCCAGUUUGUGAACUAUUUUUGGAAGCCAAACGUCUGACGAGGCUUCUGCAGCUUCCGAUUGGCUUUAGGAGCUUCCUGCAGCCAAUUGGAUGAAUGAAUGAAUUUAUUAAUACGGUCACAGACCAGCACCAACACACACAACAUCACAGAUCAUAAAAAAUAUAUAUAAAAAAUACAAAGGGCAAUAUAAGUAUAACAAGCAUUUAAAUUUAAAAAAUUAAAAUUAGUUAUUAUUAAUUAAAAAAUUAAAAUUAAUUAUUAUUAAUUAAAAAAUUAAAAUUAAUUAUUAUUAAUUAAAAAAUUAAAAUUAAUUAUUAGGAUGCCCCCUGCUAUCAACACUUGGGGGUUUGGACAGCCAAUUGGAAGCCGCGCUUUUGUUUCUGAACAUUUUGGAAGUCAAACAGACUUCCGGAACGGAUUCCGUUCGACUUCCAAGGUACAACUGUACUUCUGAGUGGACAUGUACAAAAUUGGUCUAUAAUUUCAUUGUACAGUGAAUUAUCAUUGAAUGAAUAAACAGGUGACAUUUCUUUUUUUUUUUUUAUAAGAUAUUUAUUCCAAUUUUAAAAUUACAAAGAAAGAAAAAAACCAUACAAAAUAAAAUAAGCAUAUAACAAAAAACAGACAAUAAGAAAAACUCAACAAAAAGUAUACAAAUACAUUACAAUCAAAUAAAACAAAAAUCAAGUUAAACCUUUACAGCCUUUUUUCCUUUACUUAUUUCCGUGACCUCCUCUCGCCUCCCUGCUUUGUAUUCUAGUUUAAUUCGUAUUUCCAGCAAAUCCUUCUAGCCUUCUUUUCAUUUACUUAUUUUAACGUUCAAUAAUAUAGUUAAACCUCCUCUGUCCUCAAUUUCUAUACUUCAUUUUUACUUAAUCCAUUAUGUCAUGUCUGCCAAAACGGCCUAAUAUUCUUUUUCCAACCUCUUUCUAACAUUCUUUUAUGUUACAGUCUUUCUGAAGAUAUAUUUUAAAUUUUUUCCAAUCUUCUUCCAUCGACCCUUCUCCCUGGUCUCGAAUUCUGCCGGUCAUCUCAGCCAGUUCCAUAUAGUCCAUCACUUUCAUCUGCCAUUCUUCUCGGGUAGGCAAUUCUUGUGUCUUCCAGUAUUUCCCAAUGAGUAUUCUUGCUGCUGCUGUCGCAUACAUGAAAAAAGUUCUAUCUUCCCUUCGCACCAAUUGGCCGACCAUGCCCAAGAGGAAGGCCUCUGGUUUCUUUAGGAAAGUAUAUUUCAAUACCUUUUUUAAUUCAUUAUAUAUCAUUUCCCAGAAGGCCUUGAUCUUUGGGCACGUCCACCAAAGGUGAAAGAAAGUACCUUCGUUUUCUUUACAUUUCCAACAUUUAUUAUCGGGCAAAUGAUAGAUUUUUGCUAGCUUGACUGGGGUUAAGUACCACCUAUAAAUCAUUUUCAUUAUAUUUUCUCUUAAGGCAUUGCAAGCCGUAAAUUUCAUACCUGUGGUCCAUAACCGUUCCCAGUCAGCAAACAUAAUAUUAUGUCCAACAUCUUGUGCCCAUUUAAUCAUAGCAGAUUUAACCGUUUCGUCCUGUGUAUUCCAUUUCAGCAACAAGUUAUACAUUCUUGACAGAUUCUUAAUUUUAGGCUCUAACAAUUCCGUUUCCAGUUUGGAUUUUUCCUCCUGGAAACCAAUCUUUUUGUCUAGGUUAAAAGCCUCCCUUAAACAGGUGACAUUUCUAAGCCUCCUUCCAGCAUUUUUUAUUUGCCUUUUUUUUUUUUUUUUUUUGCUGGCAGUGAUGAAUCUACAUAUAAUGAUUGUGUACAGGUAUUUUGAAAAGUACAGGAAAGCCACCUUGUGUUUGUUGGGAUUAAAUGUACACUGAAUCAUAGUUGAAAUGGCAACUCAUUAGGACCCAAGGGAUUUCUUACCAUUGGCUUGUGACCAAGCAACUCACUUCUCAGUCACAACCGUUGACUACUCUCACAUUGUUUUAAAACACAGUAAGGCAGGGAGGAAGGGACACGGGUGGCGCUGUGGGUUAAACCACAGAGCCUAGGACUUGCCGAUCAGAAGGUCGGCGGUUCGAAUCCCCGCAACGGGGUGAGCUCCCCUUGCUCGGUCCCUGCUCCUGCCAACCUAGCAGUUCGAAAGCACAUCAAAGUGCAAGUAGAUAAAUAGGUACUGCUCCAGUGGGAAGGUAAACGGUGUUUCUGUGUGCUACUCUGGUUUGCCAGAAGUGGCUUAGUCAUGCUGGCCACAUGACCCGGAAGCUAUACACCGGCUCCCUCGGCCAAUAACGCGAGAUGAGCGCCGCAACCCCAGAGUCGGUCACGACUGGACCUAAUGGUCAGGGGUCCCUUUACCUUUACCUUUUAAGGCAGGGAGGAACAUGUCAGUUUGCAUUUCUUAGUGCAGAAAGAGGGUUCUGGAAGCUUCUCUGUGUGAAAAAAAACAAGCAGAAGGUUCCUGAUGUUUAGAUUAUUCCUUCAGAGAAGCUGAGUACAGUGGACGCUCGGGUUGCGAGUGUGAUCCAUGCAGGAUGCAUGUUUGCAACCCGCAGCGGUGCGUCUGCACACGCACAGGUUGCGAUUCGGCGCAUGCGCGGCCCCCGAAACCCGGAAGUAACCCGUUCCGGUACUUCCGGGUUUUGGUGGCUCCGUAACCCAAAAAAACGCAACCUGAAGCAUCUGUAACCCGAGGUAUGACUACAGCUUGCUUAAACUGGUUCUGUUAUCUCUUCUUCAAGGUCUUGCUGACUAUAAAAAGAGGCCAGAAGGAGCCCGGGUUUCACUUUCUAUCUCUCUUCCUUCUGGUGUGGUCUGUAGAUAGUAUGCUUGGUGUUAAGGUUUAGUCUUAUUAUAGUAAGUUUAAGUCUGCUGCAACUGGAUUUCUUCUGGACAGUGCCAAUCCUGAAUGUAUUGGAUUUGUGACCAUUAUGCUCAUUUGCCUUCAGGAGCAGUAAAGCUCUCCUGGAUGAAAUAUCAGUUGCCUCUGGUCUAUUUUUUCGGAAUCCUGCAACGUGUUUUAAGUUUUUACUCUGCAACUAUACAUUGGAAUCUGCUCUGGAUCAAUAUUGAGUACAAUUCCAUGACAGAGCCAGGCUGACCCCUCUGGUAUUACAGUGCUGAGGUCUGCUUGUCUCACAAGGUGAGGAGGGAGAAUGAAGUGACCCUGAGGUCCAAGAAGCCUGACGCUGCUCUGAGCCGGCUUCAGCUGGGGAGGGCGGGAUAUAAAUAAAUUAUUAUUAUUAUUAUUAUUAUUAUUGAAGUGGUUCUUGGCCAACGUUUUGAGAAAAGCUGACAUAGUAGUUGGCCUGCAUAUUUUGCAUCAUAACUUUUCUUCCAGGAGCACUAUUGAAUUAUAUAUAAUAAUAAUAAUAAUAAUAAUAAUAAUAUUGUACCACUAUAAUCCAGCCCUGGUUGCUAGUGAGACUCAUCCACACUUGCUCAGCGAGCAUUUUUCCUCUUCUGACAGUGUAGCAAUCUUAUAACAGAGCAAUGUCUUGGCUUUGUAGGAUUUGGCCUCUCGUUAGGACACACCAUGGCAGAAGAACGAAGGAGUUCCCUUAGACCUCGUGGAGGUUUCCUUGGAGCGCAGAUGGACAAGGAAGCAGGAAGAGGCCGCAAUGCCGCCAAGAUUAGGAGCGGUUGGGCAUCCUGGAGAACCUCGCUGCAGAAAGUCCUGAGUGAGCAGCGGGCCCACAGCUCAGAUCUACAUCGCCAGCAGUUUAGGAAUUUUCACUACCAAGAUGCACAGGGGCCCGAGAGAUUUGCAACCGACUCUACCAUAUUUGCCAUCGGUGGCUGAAGCCAGAGCAACACACAAAGAAGGAGAUGCUGGACCUGCUGAUCCUGAAGCAGUUCAUGAGUGUCCUUCCACCAGAGAUGGAGACCUGGGUGAAAGAAUGCGGAGCGGAGACCAGUUCCCAGGCGAUGGCCCUGGUGGAAGGUUUCCUCCUGAGCCAGGCAGAGGAGAAGCAGCAGGCAGGACAGCAGGUGAGAGAGUUUCAUUUAGAUAGUCCCAGAAGUCUUGGAAUUGGAGGGAGGGUAUCCCAAAAGUCUCUACUAAUUGCCCAUUCUCUCUUGGAAAGCAUUUAAGGAAGUUUCCCCACCCCCCUGUCAUUCUUUUCUUAUCCUUCUUCCCAUCCUGUGUUUUGAAUCAUCAUUACUGUUUCAGGGAGAGGAUUUGGUUGCAGAAAUGGAGACUGAUUACUCAGAGGCAGAGACGGCUGCAUCGGACACCAGAGCGAGGCCACUUGGUAAUAUUUAAUGGGAUUUAUCCCAGUUUCAUGGAUCUUGGAAACAGGCGUUGGGCUUGUUUAAUCUUUUCUGGAAUUUAAUUUUUAAUUAUUAUUUUUUUAAUACCGACAGCAACCACAAAAAGCACAUACAACAAAAACCACAAUAACACUAAUAAGACAAUUUAACAAUUCAGAUUUGAGUACUGGUAUACCUAUAACUACACCCUUUUAACAAUAUUUCCCCACCUCUCCUCCCCCUACUUCCCACCACUUUCUGCCUUAUCGCUUAAGUAUUCCUUCCAGAUUUCUUCAUAUUUAUCCAUUCUUAAUUUGCGUCGAUAGGCAAUUUGUUUGUAUGUAACAAAUGUCAAUCCAUGUGCUUGAUGGGAUCUUUUUGCGGUUCUUCCAAUUCAUCAAAACAAGUUUUUUUGCUUCUAAUAUGGCACUUUUCUGGAAUGACACUCCUCUCUUGUAUUUUCCACCCCCUGGGUAAAUAUUAAUGGGAUGAAUCUCAAAUUAGACUCUUUCUGUUGAGUGUGAAAUAAAUCCGGGGGGAUCCUUUAAUUAUUAUUUUUUGAGGGGGGGAGACACUUGUCGCCAGUUUUUUCCACAGAUGAAAAAUGUACUUGCUUAAAACAACUCCCUACUUUAUGCAUGGGGACCUGCACAUUUUGCCCAAAGGGGAGAGUCACAUUUUCACACAACUGAUAUAUAAAAUGGUAUAAACACAUCCGUUUAUAAACACUUUAAUAAAAUAAGGUUUUUCCCCCCCUAAGGCCUGUGUAUACUUAAGAAUGCAUCACUUAACCUCCGAGAGGAGCAAGUUCAACUGUCUUCCUACUAACUUUGAUUCUCACAGGUGACAGGAUGAUGCUGACAAGACCUCCUCAGCCACCUGCUCUUCACAGUGGAGGGGAUGCAGAUUCUGUGGCACAAGAUCAGGUAGGGGGGUAGAUCAGUGGGGAGAGAGGGGCUGAGGGUAGCCAGGGUGCCUCUGUCCCCUCACCUGUCUGGGCCUGGAUAAAUCUCUCUUCCCCUUUGCCUCUUUAAAAUCUGUCCUCAGCAAAGGCUUUGAAGGCCACUCAAAGUAGGUUUAAAUUCUGACAAUAAUGAGCAGCCACCUCUUAUUAACAAGCCCUUUGGAUAUAGCUAGAAUUACUUCUCGGUGGUUGCAGCAGUAUUAUUUAUGGAUUGUAAAAACGCUUGAUGCUAAAAUAGGAUUCCAAAGAGCUGACAAACAAAAAGUAGUAGUAGUUGUUUUUUAGUCGUGUCCGACUCUUUGUGACCCCAUGGACCAGAGCACACCAGGCAGUAGUUACGGAAAGAUUAAAAAUCAAAACACGCAUCAUGAAAACACACCGUGAAAAUGUACCAUUACAGUGGCACCUUGGGUUAAGAACUUAAUUCGUUCCGGAGGUCUGUUCUUAACCUGAAACUGUUCUUAACCUGAGGUACCACUUUAGCUAAUGGGGCCUCCUGCUGCUGCCGCGUCGCCACCGCACAAUUUCUGUUCUCAUCCUGAAGCAAAGUUCUUAACCCAAGGUACUAUUUCUGUGCUAGCUGAGUCUGUAACCUGAAACGUCUGUAACCUGAAGCUUCUGUGACCCGAUGUACCACUGUAUAACAUUAAAAUAAACACCCAUAAUCAGAAUGCACAGCAAGGCAAUCCCAUUAAAACAACCCAACGAUGAGUAAUGGAUAUUCCAUACGCUACCUCUGAGGUAGAAUUGUUUCCUUUUUCUUUUAGAAUCCAGCAUCCUUUGAAGAUGUGGCUGUGAAUUUCACGGAGGAAGAGUGGGCACUGCUGGAUCCUGACCAGAGAGCUCUGCAUAAGGAAGUCAUGGAGGAGACCUGUGGCAUCAUGGAUUCUCUUGGUGAGGCUCCAUGCUGUAUAUUUAUUUUGAAAACCAUAAUUUUAUAUGUGAUGAACCCAAAAUAUUCUCAUGUAGCUGAUUAGCACCACCUAGAUAACCUGGGAUUCUAUUUUUAUAUAUGUAAUUUUUAUUUAUGAUUUUCAAUUUUGUACAUUUCAAUAAUUUUACAAUGAUCUUAACAUUUCAACUUCCUUCCCCUUCUUUCUGCUGUUCCUUUCUCCGGUUCCUUUCUGCGGUUUUUUAUCUUUUCUGCAUAUUCCGAAUUACCGUAUUUUUCGCCCUAUAGGACGCACUUUUUCCCCUCCAAAAAUGAAGGGGAAAUGUGUGUGCGUCCUAUGGGGCGAAUGCAGGCUUUUGCUGAAGCCUGGAGAGCGAGGGGGGUCGGUGCGCCCCGACCCCUUUCGCUCUACAGGGGUGAGGAAGCUAACCCCUAGCCGUGGGAGACGCAGCUCUCCCACGGCUAGCGGAGAGCUUGCCUGCACCCAGAAGCUUGGGGCGCACUGAGCUCAGCACGCCCCAAGCUUCAGGCUUCACGCAGCGCUCCCACGGCUUGCGGAGAGCAGCCUGUUCUGGGGGCUGGGGUCGGGGGAAGCUCGGGCUUCCCCUGCCCCAGCCCCGCACCUGGGGGGAAAAUAAUUUUUUCCCCUUUAUUUCCCCUCCAAAAAACUAGGUGCAUCCUAUGGGGUGAAAAAUAUGGUAACUUAACUUAAUCAUUUAUUCAUCUACUUUAAAUGUAUACUCUUAUAAAACUGUAGGUUAUGUCAGUUAUCCUGCCAGUGUUCUUAUCCAUUGACAGUUUGUUUGGAAAUAUUCAGUAAACCAUUUCCUUUCUUUUGUAAAAAGUUUAUCUUGAUUUCUUAUUUUUCUGGUAAGUUUCACCGUUUCUGCGUAUUCCGUAAGUUGUUGAAUCCAUUCUGCUUUUGCCAGAACUUUUUCUUUCCAUUUUUGGGCAAGCUGUGUAUCAGCUUUUAUGUCUAUUUUCCAGAAUGUGGAAUAAAGCGGAAGAAUAUUAACUGGAUGUGGGAGACCAAAGAUUAAAUCACCAUUUGGCUACCAAGCUCCCCGGGUGACCUCAGCCCAGUCGCUGUAUCUCAGCUUAUGCUACCUCUCAGGAUUGUUGUGUGAAUAACAUUGGGCCAAGGAGACCCAGAAUGCUGCCUCGAGCUCCUUGAAGGAAAAGUUGGACAGAUGUAAAUGAAAUGCUAAUGAACAAUGAUGAUAAUUAAAAGUCUUGUUUUCACUUGGUCUGUCACUUACUUUAAAUUGGGGGGAGUGGGGUCUGUGUGGCCAGGUUUGAAAUCAUGAAAAACGCAUCCUAAAAGUCGAAGAAAAAUCACUCUGGAGGUCGAUCAGGAUAGUGAGACCUACAAACAUUGAACUUUACUUGUAGGUCAUCAGCAUAUCCAGAGUGUGGUUGUCUGCUGGGGAGAGGCUUGCAGUUCACGCAUCCGUACUACAUAUAAGCUCUGGAGACUGGUUCUCAUCUGAACCAU